rnacentral:rRNA from 1 species
UACGAAGGGAGCUAGCGUUGUUCGGAAUUACUGGGCGUAAAGGGCGCGUAGGCGGCCAUGUAAGUCAGAUGUGAAAGCCCCGGGCUUAACCUGGGAACUGCAUUUGAAACUGCACGGCUAGAGGAUGAGAGAGGAAAGUGGAAUUACGAGUGUAGAGGUGAAAUUCGUAGAUAUUCGUAAGAACACCAGUGGCGAAGGCGGCUUUCUGGCUCAUAUCUGACGCUAAGGCGCGAAAGCGUGGGGAGCAAACAGG